AAGUAGGGAGAAUUAACACAGAUAUACCAAGGGAUACAGAGAGACGGAACAUCACACUAAAUCAAACAGGGUAUAGCAAAAUUUGGAAACUAUAUAAAGCAACACAAACGGUCAGUUAAAACACAAUCAACGCAUGGUUUGGUUGAAUACGCUGUUUCAAAGAUUGUGAAAUUGUAAGUUAAGUGUGAAAUUUAAGAUAGUGAUAGAAUACUUACCGUAGAGAGACCUUUGGGGGGGAGACACGCGCACAGUUAAGGGGUAAAGUAAAUCUGUCCCGAGGCUUUAAGAAGGCCAGCGAUGUAGGAGGGCUAAGGCUUAUAGACAAUGGGACACAAAUUUGCAUGAUAUAAGUUGUCAGGCACACAGUUGUCAGGCACCGGGCGCAGCAGCGCACACUUAGAGGUCCCCAGGCACACAACCAUAGGUAGAGACAACACAGCGACACAGAAACACAAAGAAUAGCAUACGACGUAGACACACCAGCAGAGAAACACAAAGACAACAGAUCUCAUACCUUCCCGUAAAGGUGGUUCGAACUUGAUUAGGCGCUUUCGUGCCUGCAUGAAUUACUCUUUGGUUUUUUUCGGUAAAGUCACGUAGAAAUA